rnacentral:rRNA from 1 species
UACGGGGGGGUGCGAGCGUUGUCCGGAAUUAUUGGGCGUAAAGAGCUCGUAGGCGGUUUGUUGCGUCGGCUGUGAAAUCCCGAGGCUCAACCUCGGGUCUGCAGUCGAUACGAGCAAACUAGAGUGUUGCAGGGGAGACUGGAAUUCCUGGUGUAGCGGUGAAAUGCGCAGAUAUCGGGAGGAACACCUAUGGCGAAGGCAGCUCGCUGGGACGUUAACUGACGCUGGAGACGCGAAAGCGUGGGGAGCAAACAGG